GAUGAACGCUGGCGGUCUGCUUAACACAUGCAAGUCGAACGGGCUCUUUCGGCAUCUAGUGGCGGACGGGGUAGUAACCCGGGAGAAUCUGCCCUUUUGAGGGGCAUAACGGUUGGAAACGACCUCUAAUACCCCAUGUGCCUAGCGGUAAAAAGUAAUUCCCGAAGGGAUGGGCUCGCGUCGGAUUAGCUAGUUGGUGGGGUAAGAGACCACCAAGGCGACGAUCCGUAGCUGGUCUGAGAGGAUGACCAGCCACACUGCGAAUGAGACACGGCCCAGACUCCUACGGGAGGCAGCAGUGGGGAAUUUUCCGCAAUGGGCGCCAGCCUGACGGAGCAAGACCGCGUGAGGGAAGACGGUCUGUGGAUUGUAAACCUCUUUUGACAGGGAAGAAGUACUGACGGUACCUGUCGAAUCAGCCUCGGCUAACUCCGUG
rnacentral:rRNA from 1 species